UUUGAUCCUGGCUCAGAAGACGCUGGCGGCACGCCUAAUACAUGCAAGUCGAACGAAGUAGCAAUACUUAGUGGCAGACGGGUGAGUAACAUGUAGGUAUCUUCCCUAUGGUGAGGAAUAACACGAGGAAACUUGUGCUAAUACCUCAUAAGUCUUUACAGAGAAAGCUUUAUGCGCCAUUGGAUGAGCCUGCACUUGAUUAGUUUGUUGGUGGGGUAAUGGCCUGCCAAGACUUUGAUCAAUAGCUGAUUUGAGAGGAUGAUCAGCCACAUUGGGACUGAGACACGGCCCAAACUCCUACGGGAGGCAGCAGUAGGGAAUAUUGCGCAAUGGGGGAAACCCUGACGCAGCGAUGCCGCGUGAGUGAAGAAGGCCUUAGGGUUGUAAAACUCUUUCACCGGUGAAGAUAAUGACGGUAACCGGAGAAGAAGCUCCGGCUAACUCCGUGCCAGCAGCCGCGGUAAUACGGAGGGGGCUAACGUUGUUCGGAAUUACUGGGCGUAAAGCGCGCGUAGGCGGAUUAGACAGUUGAGGGUGAAAUCCCGGAGCUUAACUUCGGAACUGCCUUCAAUACUACUAAUCUAGAGUUCGGAAGAGGUGAGUGGAAUUCCUAGUGUAGAGGUGAAAUUCGUAGAUAUUAGGAAGAACAUCAGAGGCGAAGGCGGCUCACUGGUCCGAUACUGACGCUGAGGUGCGAAAGCGUG
rnacentral:rRNA from 1 species